CAAAGAGCAAAUGGCGGACUUCAUAAAAAUUAGAGGAGAAAACGAUCACCUCUUCACUGGGGUAAAAAAUUCAGCCACUGUGGGAUGGAGGACAAUUCUGGAGAAGAUGGGCCUGCAGCGGAAAGUCACCCACUUGCAGGCCAAAAAGAAAUGGACAACUUAAAAAAAAGAUACAAAGAUUGCAAGUAUCCAGGGUCAGGGAAGUCAGUGGGAAGUGUUAACCAUGAAGUUCCUUCUUUCAUUUUCAAAUCACUUCCAGAAAAUAAAGGAAGUGAACAUUUAUCUUUUCAUUUUUUGCAUCUCAUUUCACAU